AAAGUAGAGAGUGGCGCACGGGUGAGUAAGACUUAGGUAACGUACCCUCUCGCUGGGGAUAACCAGGGGAAACUUUGGCUAAUACCGAAUAACCCCCCACAGCCUUCGGGCAGUGGGGGGAAAGCCGUAAGGCGCGAGAGGAGCGGCCUGAGUGCCAUUAGCUAGUUGGUGGGGUAACGGCUCACCAAGGCAAUGAUGGCUAGCUGGUCUGAGAGGAUGAUCAGCCACACUGGCACUGGAAUACGGGCCAGACUCCUACGGGAGGCAGCAGCUGGGAAUUUUGCGCAAUGGGGGAAACCCUGACGCAGUGACGCCGCGUGGGUGAGGAAGGCCUUCGGGUUGUAAAACCCUUUCAGUGGGGAAGAAACAGAUGACGGUACCCAUAGAAGAAGCACCGGCUAACUCCGUGCCAGCAGCCGCGGUAAUACGGAGGGUGCAAGCGUUAUUCGGAAUUAUUGGGCGUAAAGAGCUCGUAGGCGGUUUGGUAAGUCUGGUGUGAGAUCCCUCGACUCAAUCGGGGA
rnacentral:rRNA from 1 species